rnacentral:miRNA from 1 species
CAGGUCACUUUGCACAGACCCUGGUGACCUGAGGCUCCCUGACUGUCACUCUGUCCCGCCCAUUCUGGCCCACAGGGCACAGGCUGAGUCCCAGUAAAGUCUGUGAGGCCUGACCCUGGCGUCCGGCCACCCCUGGAUGGC